rnacentral:rRNA from 1 species
ACCUACGGGGGGCAGCAGUGAGGAAUAUUGGUCAAUGGACGAGAGUCUGAACCAGCCAAGUAGCGUGAAGGAUGACUGCCCUAUGGGUUGUAAACUGCUUUUGUACGAGGGUAAACGCAGAUACGUGUAUCUGUCUGAAAGUAUCGUACGAAUAAGGAUCGGCUAACUCCGUGCCAGCAGCCGCGGUAAUACGGAGGAUUCAAGCGUUAUCCGGAUUUAUUGGGUUUAAAGGGUGCGUAGGCGGUCGGAUAAGUUAGAGGUGAAAUCCCGAGGCUCAACUUCGGAAUUGCCUCUGAUACUGUUCG